CUCCUUCCUUGCAACACCACAGGCCCCUGCUCCUGGGCCUUUGGUAUGGCUGCUACUCAAAAACCUUCUGAAAAUCACGACAUGACAAACAACUGACAGGAGAACAAAGGAAGUGAACAUGAAUAUAUGGGGAGAGACUGAUCGGGGAAUGAGGUGCAGUUUGGAAGAUUAUCAAGGAUGCACAGGUAAGGGGAAUAAAGUGAUUGGGAAAGUCUAAGGACAUCUGACAGUGGAAGGACGAACACUAAACGACAGAAAGACCCCCCUCCUUCUCAACCUUAUUGUUUGACCCCUUCAAAAUAAGAUGUUCAUUCAUGCCAGAUAUAAAUAAAAGUAAUUUCUCUAUGGUUGUGAGAUCAAAUAUUUCUAUGUACUCUGAUCUUUGUUUUUUGUAUACAGUUUUUUCAAUACAACUUAAAGGUGUGUGCUCGGGUGCAAUCAUAGAGAAUGAUCAAAGAUGUAUAAAGAUGACAGAAAUAUACACGAUUCAGUGACAGGCAUUAAAGCACUCAACAAAACGUGUGUGUGUGUGUGUGUGUGUGUGUGUGUGUGUGUGUGUGUGUGUGUGUGUGUGUGUGUGUGUGUGACGGUAACAAGAAAAGUCAUGAUACGGAAGGGUGUGAGCUCCAAGUGGUUUCCUCUAGCAGCUCGGCUGAUCACAAGCAGAAGCAAGUGAAAUAGUGCGAAGGGCGUUCCUACUGGGUUUUGUGGUGGGGAACUAGUAGCUCGUGGUUGUGUUUGCAUUGUCGUUCUAACUGAUGCUUCCUAGUAUGUUUGCAUCGAGGGUGUAAUGAAAGUUUAGUUUGGAUCUCUGGGUACAGUGGUUGAAAUGUCAUCAGCAACAUGUGCUAAUUUAUUCUUGAGAAAUCUUUGGGGAACUUUGUUUCUUUUUACUUGUCUGCUUCCGCGACUUCUGAAGAAAGCAUCCAUUCCGAGGUCAGAGGGCUUCCAUUAAGAAUAAACGCGUAUCCAUGCUUGACCGACACACGUUAUGGUCAGAAGAUCAACCACCAGUGGCUUGGGAGACCAACACAUAACUAUCUGCGUAAG